UAUCAGAAAUUGUGAUUUUGAACGCGUUUUUAUCGGUUAUUGCUUUAACACUGUUGGAGAACAAUUAAUUUUGGAGGUUUUUUAUUGUUUCUCUGAAAGCUUUUAUGGAAAACAACAGCAUGUAACCGUCUGAAGUUUAGUCAUUAUUUGUGCUACUUUAAAGAGGAGGUGACAAAGGUGACAAACUCUUUUAGCCCUUAGAGGAUGCUUCAAGUUCAAAGAAGUGUAUCUAACCAGUCCAUGUACUAAAUAAGACCAAGCAUCAACCCACCUGUACCAUAAUGGGCCGACGUACAGGUGGAGACACAGGAGGGGGCGGACAGGUGGGAGGGAGAGCAGACGAUGUGGAUCCAUGCGUAGAAAAGCACAAAGUAAAAGAAGUUGAAGAAACCCAGAAGAAAGAGCAGAGCACAGUACAAGUGAGAGGAGAUGCAGCCCACAGGGAGAGGAGCAAGAAUGGAAGUGGGAAAUAGGACUACGGAAGGGCCUGGCUUUGAAUGGAGGCAACUUGGAAGAAUGAAUACCAAUAACCCUAGUGGAAGAAGAUUGAAGACUUGCUGAUCAUAAAAGAGGGCCAUUAAAGUGAUUUUCUACCCAGAGACGACCUGUUCUGAGUCUGUCCAGCAUGACAGCAGGUCACAUUUGUGUUUGUGACAGCACCACGCGCUCCAGCGCUGAACACAGUGGAAAGGAACAGCAAACAAUGAACCAAAAGACGUGACCUUCAGGAAGAGGAGGGGGCUUCGGAUGCUGUAACUACAAAACAAAUCAAAUACAGGAGCACAAAGUCAGAUUUGGAGAGGGCAAAGGGGCAUCUUGUGCAUGCUGAGCUACAAAUGGUGCUUUGUCAGGAGAGUGCUGACAAAGACCACUGCGUCCUUCUGGUGCAAAAGUGGAAGUGACCAAAGAACAGCUGAACCUGUGGGAGGACGUUACAGGACGACAUCCAGAGAGGCAAGCACAAAUUUUUUUUAUUUAUUUUAAGGAAGAAAGUUGUUCCUUGAAAAAUGUCCUUUUAUCUUGAUUUAUGAGAGAAUUUCUCACAUUUAUUCAACUUAAACAGCCAUUUUCUAAUUACAUUUGUACAUAAAUCACACCCAAAAUAAUAGAAAUUAUUACUUACAGCUUUUUCUUUUCUCUUCAGUGUUUCAGUUUACAAAAAUAUCCAUGACUGAUCGGCUCUUCUAACCAUGUGGUUGUAAAAGAUCGCAAUUUUAUCAUUGUUUUAUACCAAUUAUUAUUAUUCAUUAUUUUAUACCAAUUAUUUUACAUCCAUGUAGUAACAAUAUCAUACAGAAUAAUGAUAUCUAUGGAAGCCCUAAGAGGACCUGUAUGUUGGACUGCAACAAACAAGUAUUUUAAUCAUCCAUUCAUCAGAUGAUUGUUUUCCCGAUUCUUCUGUGAAUUGGAUGCAUUAUUUUCAAAUAUCAUUAAUAAGAUGAAAGUCAGAAAAAAACUAAUGUUCUAACAGGGUUUUUAUGACAAGGCGCUAUUUUUAGACCGCCACCGUCUCCUCUCCAUCGUGAAAAAAGGUCACUGAUCAAUAUUUCUCCCAAUUAUUCUUGCUAAUAAUCAGAUUAUUAUCAAAGAAGUACUAAGUAAAAGAACAGUUUAGCAACUGUCUUGGUGUGACAUUAAUUAUCAGCUUUUGUCAACUUUAUAGAUUUGUUGUUUCAGCCCUACCUGUGUCCAUACUGUUUAUUUUGCUCUAUUUUCCUGUGAUAAUCAGUAUACUUUGUUUUUUCAUGAUCACAACUUAUUCAUCUUGUAUCUCAGGAUGACAAUGCUGAUUUUCCAAAGAUUAUGAGUUAAUGUCAGCAGUUUUCUUUAGAUCUUGAGAAAUGUACUAGUUUUCUCAAAACAAUA